rnacentral:rRNA from 1 species
AGUGAACGCUGGCGGUAGGCCUAACACAUGCAAGUCGAACGGCAGCACAGUAAGAGCUUGCUCUUACGGGUGGCGAGUGGCGGACGGGUGAGGAAUACAUCGGAAUCUACUUUUUCGUGGGGAAUAACGUAGGGAAACUUACGCUAAUACCGCAUACGACCUACGGGUGAAAGCAGGGGAUCUUCGGACCUUGCGCGAUUGAAUGAGCCGAUGUCGGAUUAGCUAGUUGGCGGGGUAAAGGCCCACCAAGGCGACGAUCCGUGGCUGGUCUGAGAGGAUGAUCAGCCACACUGGAACUGAGACACGGUCCAGACUCCUACGGGAGGCAGCAGUGGGGAAUAUUGGACAAUGGGCGCAAGCCUGAUCCAGCCAUACCGCGUGGGUGAAGAAGGCCUUCGGGUUGUAAAGCCCUUUUGUUGGGAAAGAAAAGCAGCAGGUUAAUACCCCGCUGUUCUGACGGUACCCAAAGAAUAAGCACCGGCUAACUUCGUG